CAUACAUAUUCUCAGUGUAAGAUUCUCUGGUAACCCAACAUUGGUGAUCUAUUUGUGACAUUGUGUCUACAUUUAAAAGUGUUUUGAUUGGCUGCCUAUGAGCAACAGGAAACCUAAAUUAAAUACAGGAUCAAACCAACUAAAGUAAAUGCAUCAUUUGUUGAAUGAUAAAUUAAAUAAAAAGGUAGUUUCCACUGACAACUGGGUGAUCUGCAUGUUUCCUUUUGACAAUGUGAACUGUAUUUUAAGAAAUUACAAGCUUGUUUUUUAACUAGUAUGGAUUGCCAAGUUGUAACCUCAAUUUACAGUCAUGCAAGGCCAUUACCCAACAAUUAAAUCCACUAAAAUCCAGUUUCACUGACAGAAAGAGACUGCUACUCACCUGGAUGGUGUACUUGCAGACUCCAAGAGUGUUCCAAAGCUUGAUGGUCUUGUCCCGGGAGCCAGACACAAUCUGGCGGUUAUCAGCAGAAAAGGCCACGCUCAAAA